rnacentral:rRNA from 1 species
AAUACAACUUUCAGCAACGGAUCUCUUGGCUCUCGCAUCGAUGAAGAACGCAGCGAAUUGCGAUAAGUAAUGUGAAUUGCAGAUUUUCAGUGAAUCAUCGAAUCUUUGAACGCACCUUGCGCUCCUUGGUAUUCCGAGGAGCAUGCCUGUUUGAGUGUCAUUCGAAUUCUCAACCAUGUCUUGUAAUGAGGCUUGGCUUUGGAGUUGGGGGUUGCUGGCGGCGAAGGUCGUCGGCUCUCCUGAAACAUAUUAGCAAAGGGCAGCAAGUCUCUGACGUGUGGCACGGCCUCUUCGACGUGAUAAUGAUCGUCGUGGGCUGGAAGCGCUGGGGGGGACUGCAUGGAUUGUCUUGUUUGCUUCCAAUCUCACCCAUAAUCAAGACUUUGGGACUCGAGCGAAGGUCGGCUUAGCUAUUAGUUUGGUCGUGAGGCCAGCGAACGCGGUCGGCUGGGUUUCGAGCUCUCAGGGAACUCGAGCGAAGGGUUGGCUUAGCUAUUAGUUGGUCGUGAGGCCGGCGAACGCGGUCAGGCUGGGUUUCGAGUUCUGGGGACUCGAGGAAAGGGUCGGCUUUAGCUAUUAGUUGGUCGCGAGGCCCGCUUACCGGUCGGGCUGGGUUUCGAGUUCUAGUCUCGUCUUUGACACCUGACCUCAA